AAUGAGUGUGAGCAGUUAUGGGUCGGGUGCAGGAGCCAAAAGAAAACUGAGGUACUCUCUCCGUCCACAAAUAAGUGUACAUACAGGUAUUUCAAGACAAAUUAUGAAAUAAGGUAAAAAUGCAUUGGUAAUAUGCCAACUACCAACUCUCUCCUCUUUAAUUCUUUUAACUCCAAUGAGCUAAGUGCAUGAAGACAUUAUUGGGUUUGGUUUCCGUGUAAUGAGAGAGAAACAUUUCUUUUACUCUAAAGUGCUUUGAAAAGAGAAAUACGAAACAAAUUUUAAAGCUAAACGUACACUUAUUUGUGGACGGAUGGAGUAUAUUAUGAAAUAAACGAAAAAAAAUAUGAGGUGUUUUGUGGAUCUCACUUAUUUGUGGACGGAG
rnacentral:lncRNA from 1 species